AGUGAACGCUGGCGGUAGGCCUAACACAUGCAAGUCGAACGGCAGCACAGUAAGAGCUUGCUCUUACGGGUGGCGAGUGGCGGACGGGUGAGGAAUACAUCGGAAUCUACUUUUUCGUGGGGGAUAACGUAGGGAAACUUACGCUAAUACCGCAUACGACCUACGGGUGAAAGCAGGGGAUCUUCGGACCUUGCGCGAUUGAAUGAGCCGAUGUCGGAUUAGCUAGUUGGCGGGGUAAAGGCCCACCAAGGCGACGAUCCGUAGCUGGUCUGAGAGGAUGAUCAGCCACACUGGAACUGAGACACGGUCCAGACUCCUACGGGAGGCAGCAGUGGGGAAUAUUGGACAAUGGGCGCAAGCCUGAUCCAGCCAUACCGCGUGGGUGAGGAAGGCCUUCGGGUUGUAAAGCCCUUUUGUUGGGAAAGAAAAGCAGCAGGUUAAUACCCCGCUGUUCUGACGGUACCCAAAGAAUAAGCACCGGCUAACUUCGCG
rnacentral:rRNA from 1 species